GAUGAAGAACGUAGCGAAAUGCGAUAAGUAAUGUGAAUUGCAGAAUUCAGUGAAUCACCGAAUCUUUGAACGCACCUUGCGCCCUUUGGCCAUUCCGAAGGGCAUGCCUGUUUGAGUAUCAUGAACACCUCAACUCUUCAUGGUUUUCCGUGAUGAGCUUGGACUUUGGGGGUCUUGCUGGCCUAUGGUCAGCUCCUCUAAAAUAAAUCAGCUUGCCAGUGUUUGGUGGGUAUCACAGGUGUGAUAACUAUCUACGCUUGUGGUUUUCCACCAGGUAACCUUCAGCAGUGGAGGUUCGCUGGAGCUCACAGAUGUGUCUCUCCUCAGUGAGGACAGCUCUUUGAAUGUUUGAUCUCAAAUCAGGUAGGACUACCCGCUGAACUUAAGCAUAUCAAUAAGCGGAGGA
rnacentral:misc_RNA from 1 species